UGGAGUGUGACAAUGGAAA
rnacentral:miRNA from 1 species